CCUACGGGAGGCAGCAGUGGGGAAUAUUGCGCAAUGGGCGAAAGCCUGACGCAGCGACGCCGCGUGAGGGAUGAAGGUCUUCGGAUCGUAAACCACUGUCAGCAGGGAAGAAGGGUCACUGUGCUAUUCAGCAGUGAAUUGACGGUACCUGCAAAGGAAGCACCGGCUAACUCCGUGCCAGCAGCCGCGGUAAUACGUAGGGGGCAAGCGUUAUCCGGAUUUACUGGGUGUAAAGGGAGCGUAGGCGGCAGUGUGAGUCUGGAGUGAAAGGCGGGGGCUCAACCCCCGGACUGCUCUGGAAACUGGACAGCUGGAGUGCAGGAGAGGUAAGUGGAAGUCCUAGUGUAGCGGUGAAAUGCGUAGAUAUUAGGAGGAACACCAGUGGCGAAGGCGGCUUACUGGACAGUAACUGACGUUGAGGCUCGAAAGCGUGGGGAGCAAACAGGAUUAGAUACCCCAGUAGUC
rnacentral:rRNA from 1 species